rnacentral:rRNA from 1 species
GACGAACGCUGGCGGCGUGCCUAAUACAUGCAAGUUGAGCGCUGAAGGUUGGUCCUUGUCCCCACUGGAUGAGCAGCGCACGGGUGAGUAACGCGUGGGGAAUCUGCCUUUGAGCGGGGGACAACAUUUGGAAACGAAUGCUAAUACCGCAUAAAAACUUUAAACACAAGUUUUAAGUAUGAAAGAUGCAAUUGCCUCACUCAAAGAUGAUCCCGCGUUGUAUUAGCUAGCUGGUGAGGUAAAGGCUCACCAAGGCGAUGAUACAUAGCCGACCUGAGAGGGUGAUCGGCCACAUUGGGACUGAGACACGGCCCAAACUCCUACGGGAGGCAGCAGUAGGGAAUCUUCGGCAAUGGACGAAAGUCUGACCGAGCAACGCCGCGUGAGUGAAGAAGGUUUUCGGAUCGUAAAACUCUGUUGGUAGAGAAGAACGUUGGUGAGAGUGGAAAGCUCAUCAAGUGACGGUAACUACCCAGAAAGGGACGGCUAACUACGUG